UAUAUACAGAGAGAGAAUAGUGUUGAAAUGAGGAAUUGUAAUUUUUUAAUUGAAAGAUUUUUUUCCGGUAUAGUUUACAAUAAUGUCUAUUUUUGGCUUAUUAAUUAAACAAAUAUAUAUAAAGUUUUAGAUCAAAUUAACAAAAUUCGUCAAAAGUCAAUAAAUGAAAGGAUAGGCAAACAAAUUAAAAUAUAAAUAAAUGAAUUUAAAUAAAAAAAACAUAUAAUAUUCUUAAUGUCUUUUUUUUCUUAAAAAAUGUUCUUCGUCAAAUUUGUGAUCCACUCCCAGAAUUUAACUCUGAGGCAUUAGAUAAGGAUUGGCACACUGGUCAGCUUCAGUGUCAUGAUAACCUUGUUAUGCAAUUCUCCUGCUGGGCAGCGCGUUACAGUGUAUAGUGGUUUGCAGCUUAUCUAGGCCAAAUUUUGAAUUCUGGUAAACAAGAUGUGCGCGCUUACUCCUUGCCGAUUUGAAUGAGAAGACUUUGCAUCGUAUAAACCACAAAAAUAACCUCGGGAUUUAUUAACUCGGAAUGCAUGGUGUUAGUGCCAUCAUCCGUUUGAAUUCCCACAUUCAAAAGACCCGCCUUUGGUGAAGGCAAAGGUGCCGUGCUAUUCUUUCUGAGGGGCAG